GACGAACGCUGGCGGCGUGCUUAACACAUGCAAGUCGAACGGUGAACCUCUUCGGAGGGGAUCAGUGGCGAACGGGUGAGUAACACGUGGGCAACCUGCCCCCGGCUCUGGGAUAACUCCAAGAAAUUGGGGCUAAUACCGGAUGUUCACCGCUUCCCGCAUGGGUGGUGGUGGAAAGGGUUUCCGGCUGGGGAUGGGCCCGCGGCCUAUCAGCUUGUUGGUGGGGUAGUGGCCUACCAAGGCGACGACGGGUAGCCGGCCUGAGAGGGUGACCGGCCACACGGGGACUGAGACACGGCCCAGACUCCUACGGGAGGCAGCAGUGGGGAAUAUUGCGCAAUGGGCGGAAGCCUGACGCAGAGACGCCGCGUGGGGGAUGAAGGCCUUCGGGUUGUAAACCUCUGUCAGCAGGGACGAAGCGCAAGUGACGGUACCUGCAGAAGAAGCACCGGCCAACUACGUG
rnacentral:rRNA from 1 species